rnacentral:rRNA from 1 species
GACGUAGGGCGCGAGCGUUGUCCGGAUUUAUUGGGCGUAAAGAGCUCGUAGGCGGCUUGUCGCGUCGUUCGUGAAAACCUGCAGCUCAACUGCAGGCUUGCGGGCGAUACGGGCAGGCUAGAGUUCGGUAGGGGAGACUGGAAUUCCUGGUGUAGCGGUGAAAUGCGCAGAUAUCAGGAAGAACACCAACGGCGAAGGCAGCUCGCUAGGACGGUACUGACGCUGAGACGCGAAAGCGUGGGGAGCGAACAGG